rnacentral:rRNA from 1 species
GUGUCAGCCGCCGCGGUAAUACGUAGGGUGCGAGCGUUAAUCGGAAUUACUGGGCGUAAAGCGUGCGCAGGCGGUUCUCCAAGUCCGUUGUGAAAGCCCCGGGCUCAACCUGGGAAUGGCAGUGGAAACUAGGGGACUGGAAUCUGGCAGAGGGGGGUGGAAUGCCGCGUGUAGCAGUGAAAUGCGUAGAGAUGCGGCGGAACACCGAUGGCGAAGGCAGCCCCCUGGGCUGAGAUUGACGCUCAGGCACGAAAGCGUGGGGAGCAAACAGGAUUAGAUACCCUCGUAGUCC